rnacentral:rRNA from 1 species
CCUACGGGGGGCUGCAGUGAGGAAUAUUGGUCAAUGGACGAGAGUCUGAACCAGCCAAGUCGCGUGAAGGAUGACUGCGCCAUGGGUUGUAAACUUCUUUUAUAGGGGAAUAAAAUGUUCCACGUGUGGGGUUUUGUAUGUACCCUAUGAAUAAGGAUCGGCUAACUCCGUGCCCGCAGCCGCGGUAAUACGGAGGAUGCGAGCGUUAUCCGGAUUUAUUGGGGUUAAAGGGUGCGUAGGUGGAUUGGUAAGUCAGUUGUGAAAGUUUGGGGGUCAACCGUAAAAUUGCAGUUGAAACUGGCAGUCUUGAGUACAGUAGAGGUAGGCGGAAUUCGUGGUGUAGCGGUGAAAUGCAUAGAUAUCGCGAAGAACUCCGAUUGCGAAGGCAGUUCACUGGACUGCAACUGACACUGAGGCUCGAAAGUGUGGGUAUCAAACAGGAUUAGAUACCCUGGUAGUC